rnacentral:antisense_RNA from 1 species
GGUCGUUUCUCUUCGGGCCCAACACGAGCCCAAAAGCUUCCCAUCUUCUCCCAGAAGAUUAGCGGCGGGGGAGGCGGCGGCGACCGGCGGCGACAGGGUGGCCGGAUUUGCGGUCCCGUCUCCCUCUCCUGGGCUUCCGCCACCACCCGCGGGCGCUUCUCCUCCACCGGGAAGCCUGCCGUCGCGCGACGGCGACUCCCUUCGACUGUUCGACGCAAUGCCAGGGCAGGCCUGGUGGAGCGGAGGCGGAGCCGCUUCUUCGCUGCUUGAGGCGAGGCGUUCAGGGUGUUCGGCGAAAUGCUCGAGAGUCGCUUGUCCAGUCCUGGUCGGUGGCGACUUCGGCCGUCGAAGAUCUCGUGGGCGGCGACUGUGCUUCCGCUUCGUGAGCUUCUGAAGGACGCAUACCUUUUGGUAAGGAGCAAAAGACUCGUCUCUGUGAAAAGAAACACAGCUUCUGAAGAUUUGCAAGAUCCACUUUGCAGAUACUACAUGCAAAGCAUCAUUCCGAGAGGUGCAUAUAAUUUAGAGCAAUCAUCGGCAUCGUGGUCAUGGUGUGUACAUGCUCUGGAAAACAACAUAGCACGACUGGUGGGUGAUUGGUGCUUGAAGACUUGAAGUAAGCUGCGUAGCGUGUGAGGGCUGCAGGCUGCCAGUGGGAGCUGGCUUAUCAUUUGGGACACCACAGGGGAGACUGGUUCUUGUGUAGACAUGGUCUAUGGACUAUGGAACGGACUGAAGCCACACAGAUCUUCAGGUGCAGCACAAACUGGAGAAAUCCUUCGGCCAGAACAGAAACAGCAUAGGGAACACAAGAUGAUUACAGAAGAUCGGCUGCACAAAGACCAAUUCUAGAAACAGCAUAGAGGCCAUUUCCAGUUCAGACGACUGUAGUGCUGUACUGCUGUGCUGCACGUCGUACACGUCGAAGUCUGAAGAGGAUUGCUGCACUGCAGAUCAAUCAAUGAUUUUCCAAUUUUCGUCAAAACAAGAAACCAAUGAUUUUCCAGGCUCAUGGACACGGUCUACCCAGGCACCCAUCCGUAGACGUGCAAAAUUAUGAAAAACUGAUGGCGAUCUGGCGAUGAAUGAAUGAAUGAUUCGGACCGCCGCUACGUUGUUGCUGCCGACGCGUUCGUUGGCCGUGUGUCCGUGUCUCGGUCUGCAGUCUUCAGUGUCUCAGUCCGAUCGGAAUGAAAUGGAAUGGAGGAGAUGGCGGUGUGAACUGUCCUUGGUAGUGGAGUUGUGGAUUGGCUCGUAUACGACAAAUGUAUUUGGAUAUUUGGCACUUGUUAUCGCUGGAAAAAAUAUAGUCAAGUCGUGUACGAGGAAAACUGCAUGCUACUACCAUACAUACGAAGGAUAUCAAGUUCUUGACAUUUUGAUAUGGAGCAUAGCAAAACUGUUCUAGUUCUCGUUUGAAAUGCGAGAAUGUGUUCACAAAAGGCUGAUUCAUUUUAUUUAAAAUUCACGCAAUAUUCCUCUGUUCGAAGGAAAGGUCUUGUUGUGUUUUUCUUUUUCUUUUUUUUUCUUUUCUAGUGCAGGCUGAUCUGCUGUGCUGAGUGCAGACCGUGGCAGAAGUGAUUUACUUUUCCUUGUAUAAGGGGGUGUUUAAAUCCGGGGUGUAAAGUUUUAGCGUGUCACAUCGAAUAUUAUAUAAGGUAUCGCAUGUGGCAGAGUUUACAUUACCGGUUGACCACUAAAUUUCGAACCCCAUCGGUAUCACCGUUUUCGAUAAAUUUUGAUCGGUUUUUGAU